rnacentral:rRNA from 1 species
AAAGUCUGACCUGCCCUAUGAUAAGGAAUUAUUAAAUGGCCGCGAUAUUUUGAUCGUGCAAAGGUAGCAUAAUAAUUAGUUUUUUAAUUGAGAACUGGUAUGAAAGGUCGAACGAGAAAAAGACUGUCUCAAUUUAAAUUUAAUUAGAAUUUUAUUUUUAAGUAAGAAAGCUUAAAUAGUUUUAAAAGACGAGAAGACCCUAUAAAGUUUUAUAUUUAUUGAAAUUUUAAAAAUUUAAGAAUUUUUAUUUGGAUAUUUUUUAGUAAAUAUUUGGUUGGGGCGACUGGAAAAUUUAAUAAACUUUUCUU